rnacentral:rRNA from 1 species
GACGAACACUGGCGGCGUGCUUAACACAUGCAAGUCGAACGGAGUGGCGAACGGGUUAGUAACACGUGGGUGACCUGCCCUGCACUUCGGGAUAAGCCUGGGAAACUGGGUCUAAUACCGGAUAGUGUGGGAUGGGCCCGCGGCCUAUCAGCUUGUUGGUGGGGUAGUGGCCUACCAAGGCGACGACGGGUAGCCGGCCUGAGAGGGCGACCGGCCACAUUGGGACUGAGGUAAGGCCCAAACGCCUACGGGAGGCAGCAGUGGGGAAUAUUGCACAAUGGGGGAAACCGUGAGGAAGCAACGCCGCGGGCGGGAUAACGGGCUGCGGGUUGUAAACCGCGUUCAGCCAUGCCGCGGUAGUGGCAGAAGAAGCAACGGCUAACUACGUGCCAGCAGCCGCGGUAAUAC